GAGUUUGAUCCUGGCUCAGAUUGAACGCUGGCGGCAUGCCUUACACAUGCAAGUCGAACGGCAGCAUGAUCUAGCUUGCUAGAUUGAUGGCGAGUGGCGAACGGGUGAGUAAUACAUCGGAACGUGCCCUGUAGUGGGGGAUAACUAGUCGAAAGAUUAGCUAAUACCGCAUACGACCUGAGGGUGAAAGUGGGGGACCGCAAGGCCUCAUGCUAUAGGAGCGGCCGAUGUCUGAUUAGCUAGUUGGUGGGGUAAAGGCCCACCAAGGCGACGAUCAGUAGCUGGUCUGAGAGGACGAUCAGCCACACUGGGACUGAGACACGGCCCAGACUCCUACGGGAGGCAGCAGUGGGGAAUUUUGGACAAUGGGCGAAAGCCUGAUCCAGCAAUGCCGCGUGUGUGAAGAAGGCCU
rnacentral:rRNA from 1 species